AACGAACGCUGGCGGCAUGCCUAACACAUGCAAGUCGAACGAGAUCUUCGGGUCUAGUGGCGCACGGGUGCGUAACGCGUGGGAAUCUGCCCUUUGGUUCGGAAUAACAGUUGGAAACGACUGCUAAUACCGGAUGAUGACGAAAGUCCAAAGAUUUAUCGCCAGAGGAUGAGCCCGCGUAGGAUUAGCUAGUUGGUGUGGUAAAGGCGCACCAAGGCGACGAUCCUUAGCUGGUCUGAGAGGAUGAUCAGCCACACUGGCACUGAGACACGGCCCAUACUCCGACGGGAGGCAGCAGUGGGGAAGAUUGGACAAUGGGCGAAAGCCUGAUCCAGCAAUGCCGCGUGAGUGAUGAAGGCCUUAGGGUUGCAAAGCCCUUUUACCCGGGAUGAUAAUGACAGUACCGGGAGAAUAAGCUCCGGCUAACUCCGUGCCAGCCGCCGCCGUAA
rnacentral:rRNA from 1 species